rnacentral:siRNA from 1 species
UGCGGUGAUCUAUUAGCUCA